GAUGAAGAACGCAGCGAAAUGCGAUAAGUAAUGCGAAUUGCAGAAUCCGUGAGUCAUCGAAUCUUUGAACGCACAUUGCGCCCUCUGGUAUUCCGGAGGGCAUGCCUGUUCGAGCGUCAUUUCAACCAUCAAGCCCCCGGCUUGUGUUGGGGACCUGCGGCUGCCGCAGGCCCUGAAAACCAGUGGCGGGCUCGCUAGUCACUCCGAGCGUAGUAAUACAUCUCGCUCAGGGCGUGCUGCGGGUUCCGGCCGUUAAAAGCCUUAUUUACCCAAGGUUGACCUCGGAUCAGGUAGGAAGACCCGCUGAACUUAAGCAUAUCAAUAAGCGGAGGA
rnacentral:misc_RNA from 1 species